UACGUAGGGUGCAAGCGUUGUCCGGAAUUAUUGGGCGUAAAGAGCUCGUAGGCGGUUUGUCGCGUCUGCUGUGAAAAUCCGAGGCUCAACCUCGGACUUGCAGUGGGUACGGGCAGACUAGAGUGCAGUAGGGGAGAAGGGAAUUCCUGGUGUAGCGGUGGAAUGCGCAGAUAUCAGGAGGAACACCGAUGGCGAAGGCACUUCUCUGGGCUGUAACUGACGCUGAGGAGCGAAAGCGUGGGGAGCGAACAGGAUUAGAUACCCCCGUAGUCC
rnacentral:rRNA from 1 species